rnacentral:rRNA from 1 species
UACGAAGGGGGCUAGCGUUGUUCGGAAUCACUGGGCGUAAAGCGUGCGUAGACGGCUAUCUAAGUCGGGUGUGAAAGCCCCCGGGCUCAACCUGGGAAUUGCAUUCGAGACUGAAUAGCUAGGGUACGGUAGAGGGAAGUGGAAUUUCCGGUGUAGCGGUGAAAUGCGUAGAUAUCGGAAGGAACAUCAGUGGCGAAAGCGACUUCCUGGACCAGUACCGACGUUCAGGCACGAAAGCGUGGGGAGCAAACAGGA